rnacentral:rRNA from 1 species
UACAGAGGUCUCAAGCGUUGUUCGGAUUCAUUGGGCGUAAAGGGUGCGUAGGCGGCGCGGUAAGUCGGGUGUGAAAUCUCGGAGCUUAACUCCGAAACUGCAUUCGAUACUGCCGUGCUUGAGGACUGGAGAGGAGACUGGAAUUUACGGUGUAGCGGUGAAAUGCGUAGAGAUGCGGAGGAACACCGAUGGCGAAGGCAGCCCCCCUGGGCCAACACUGACGCUCAGGCACGAAAGCGUGGGGAGCAAACAGGAUUAGAAC